rnacentral:lncRNA from 1 species
CAGUCUUCCACUUGGCCUGUUUUUCCAUCAGGCUUCAGCUCCCCCUUUUCAUUGGUCAGUGUGCUCCGAACACCCAGGCAACUUCAAGGAGGUUGGGCUUGUGUGACUGAUGCCCAUUGGACCUGAUCCUGUGGCCAACUUGCGCCCUGUCCAGAUGAUAUCACACCGGAAAGAGCAGAGGAUGGCGCAACCAAACCACCUAGCUUCAGGGAUGAGGUCGGCAGAAGAUGAGGGCACAGGAGGACCGCCGGCCAGGCACACCCCUCACACUGAAUCGCCAAGGAAGUGCCAAGCUAGAAUCUCCAGAAUUAUCCCUCUCAGAAACGUGGCGCUCAAAGAGGCAAGCUCUUGGGCAACACCAUCUGGGCCACUGCAUGGAGAACCAUGUGUGUGUGUGGGGGGGGACCAGGGUGUGAGGUCACAGAUCUUUCCUGAAAUUAGAUGACAUAGGUAGGACAGGAAGGGAACCAGCAUACACUAAGGCUUCUGGAUGUGUCCCAGGAUCUCGGGUUACACCAGGGUCACCAGGUGUCCUUGUCACACUCAGCCCUGAGUUCUGCACAGUGAGCCAGGCAGAGAAAGAGCCACAGUAAGAUCUGGCUGUAUUGACAGGUAAGAGAGAAAAGCUCAUCAUUGCC